AGGCAGCAGUGGGGAAUAUUGGACAAUGGGCGCAAGCCUGAUCCAGCCAUGCCGCGUGAGUGAUGAAGGCCCUAGGGUUGUAAAGCUCUUUCACCGGUGAAGAUAAUGACGGUAACCGGAGAAGAAGCCCCGGCUAACUUCGUGCCAGCAGCCGCGGUAAUACGAAGGGGGCUAGCGUUGUUCGGAAUUACUGGGCGUAAAGCGCACGUAGGCGGGUAUUUAAGUCAGGGGUGAAAUCCCGGAGCUCAACUCCGGAACUGCCUUUGAUACUGGGUAUCUGGAGUAUGGAAGAGGUAAGUGGAAUUCCGAGUGUAGAGGUGAAAUUCGUAGAUAUUCGGAGGAACACCAGUGGCGAAGGCGGCUUACUGGUCCAUUACNGACGCNGAGG
rnacentral:rRNA from 1 species